rnacentral:rRNA from 1 species
GCGAACACACCAGCACUAAUGCACCGGAUCCCAUCAGAACUCCGCAGU